GAGCUUGCUCUGUGGAUCAGUGGCGAACGGGUGAGUAACACGUGAGCAACCUGCCCCUGACUCUGGGAUAAGCGCUGGAAACGGCGUCUAAUACUGGAUACGAGUAGCGACGGCAUCGUCAGCUACUGGAAAGAUUUUUCGGUUUGGGAUGGGCUCGCGGCCUAUCAGCUUGUUGGUGAGGUAAUGGCUCACCAAGGCGUCGACGGGUAGCCGGCCUGAGAGGGUGACCGGCCACACUGGGACUGAGACACGGCCCAGACUCCUACGGGAGGCAGCAGUGGGGAAUAUUGCACAAUGGGGAAAGCCUGAUGCAGCAACGCCGCGUGAGGGAUGACGGCCUUCGGGUUGUAAACCUCUUUUAGCAGGGAAGAAGCGAAAGUGACGGUACCUGCAGAAAAAGCGCCGGCUAACUACGUGCCAGCAGCCGCGGUAAUACGUAGGGCGCAAGCGUUAUCCGGAAUUAUUGGGCGUAAAGAGCUCGUAGGCGGUUUGUCGCGUCUGCUGUGAAAUCCCGAGGCUCAACCUCGGGCCUGCAGUGGGUACGGGCAGACUAGAGUGCGGUAGGGGAGAUUGGAAUUC
rnacentral:rRNA from 1 species